rnacentral:lncRNA from 1 species
CGGGAGUGAGUUUGGGAGCAGAGAGAACAGCUCUGUUUCAGACAUGUUAGAAUGAGGAACUUAGACAUCCAAAAGGAGAUAUUAGUGGGCAUCCAUUAGAAGGGUCUGCAAGUGAGAAUGAAACCUUACAGGUAGAAACGUAAGAACCAAAACUCUGACAGCCUUUGUAUCAGAUGGAAUCCCCCGGAGGAGGCAAAGCGUGCACACCUACUUCUGACAGCCGCCGACAUUUACAGCAAGAAGCAUAAGGCUUCGAGAGAGCCACACCACCGUCCACGUUUGAAAUUCCUUGUGAAGGACACAGUGGCAUAAUCUGGUGAAUCCAUUCAGGAAUAAAGGCACAGUGAAUCCUGUGAUUGGAAUUUUUCUUUUGUAAUCAGAAUAAUAAGAACAUUGAAUUAACUCUGAACGAAGGUGUACCUGUGUACAAAAACAUAAGGAACUGUUGCUCUUUGCUGGAAUGCAUGCAUA